UGGGUUCAGACUAUUCACAUA
rnacentral:siRNA from 1 species